AUCUGAAAUGGUGUAGUGGUUUGAGCAUUGGACUAUGACUCUGGAGAACAGGGUUCGAAUCCCAGCUCAGACA